UAAUUUAUUUAAUUAUGGUUUUGGUUGGCUAAUUGGAUUUUUGGGUCAUAUUUGGCUCUAAUUGAGAUAGGAUGAAAGUCGGAUCAAGUUGGGAGGCAUCAGGGGGAGCAAAAUCAAGUUGUUGGUCGCUACGUCAUGAGCCGUGGCUUGCGUGGCGUGCGCUGCGGCGCACAGCAUAGCAGGCAACUUAAAUUUCGAGAAUCAUCAAAAAUUGAUAGAAAACCUAGAGCACAAAGGGGGCAACUUUGGGUACAACUAGGGCAUCAAUUUGGAAGGAUUUUGAAGAUCAUUUGAGUCUCCAAACUCUUAGGAUGAAAGUUGGAUCAAGUCGGAAGGCACCAAGGGGAGCAAAAUCAAGUUGUUGCUCACUGCUAGGGCAUUAAUUUGGGAGGAUUUUGAAGAUGAUUUGAGCCUUCAAACUCUUGGAUUGUGGUGUGGGAAGACUUAUAUUGACACAAGAAGAGAAUCAGUACCACGGGUAACCCUUUUAGUAACAAAAGGGUUGAGGUAACUAGAUAAUUUGCAUUAUUAUUACCUUAUAUAAAUUACUCUCAAGUUGCUUUUCUAUGAAUUAUUGAGUAUAUAUGUAUAAAUUCCUUAGAGGUUAACUAUUUUAGAAAAGGUGGAGUAUUGGUUUGUAAAAUUCUAUAUUUUGAAGUAAUGGAAAUAUUUUGUUAUACUUAUUUGAAAAGUUGUUUAUGCAUGGUCAAGUGAGAUAUGUAGUGAAAUGUGGCAUAUUAGAGGGUGGUAGGUCACCCUAGUGGAGAUGGUGAAGAUUAAGUCCAUAUGGCAUUGCUGGUACCUCGGGACGCCAGGUGUAGCAUUUACUCUCCUUGCCCGAAAAUGGGUGCGUGUUGGAGACUUACUCUCCUUAGUACCCAAAAGGGUGCGGAGUUGGAGACUAUGCUCCUUAGCAUCCGUAGGAUGAGGUAUUGGAGUAACAACACCCCAAUUACUUGUAAUAGGGGGAAACAGUAGUCUGAAAAUGGUUUAGGAUACCUUGGCUGGGUAGUCCUACCAUGAAUGGUGAGCUUAGGGACCAUACAUGUGGUUUGGUUCUGUAGAAUAGCCUACUGGUUUGGUCAGGAGUAUUGGAGGACCGGAUGGUUAGAGAUCAUGCAUGUAAAUUGCAGUGAUAUUAUAUGAUGUGAUUAUAUUACUUAUUUUAAUGCUUGUUUAUAACUUGACUUGUUAAUUAAUAAUAUAGAUUAUCUUAGUUACUGAGAUUUUUUUCCCAUCCCGUGGAUUAUCAUUUUAUAGG